rnacentral:rRNA from 1 species
AACGAACGCUGGCGGCAUGCCUAACACAUGCAAGUCGAACGAGACCUUCGGGUCUAGUGGCGCACGGGUGCGUAACGCGUGGGAACCUGCCCUUAGGUUCGGAAUAACUCCCCGAAAGGGGUGCUAAUACCGGAUAAUGUCUUCGGACCAAAGAUUUAUCGCCUUUGGAUGGGCCCGCGUUGGAUUAGCUAGUUGGUAGGGUAAAAGCCUACCAAGGCGACGAUCCAUAGCUGGUCUGAGAGGAUGAUCAGCCACACUGGGACUGAGACACGGCCCAGACGCCUACGGGAGGCAGCAGUGGUGAAUAUUGGACAAUGGGCGAAAGCCUGAACCAGCAAUGCCGCGUGAGUGAUGAAGGCCUUAGGGUUGUAAAGCUCUUUUACCCGGGAUGAUAAUGACAGUACCGGGAGAAUAAGCUCCGGCUAACUCCGU